UACGUAGGGUGCAAGCGUUAAUCGGAAUUACUGGGCGUAAAGCGUGCGCAGGCGGUUGUGCAAGACAGAUGUGAAAUCCCCGGGCUUAACCUGGGAACUGCAUUUGUGACUGCACGGCUAGAGUGUGUCAGAGGGGGGUAGAAUUCCACGUGUGAGCAGUGAAAUGCGUAGAUAUGUGGAGGAAUACCGAUGGCGAAGGCAGCCCCCUGGGAUAACACUGACGCCUCAUGCACGAAAGCGUGGGGAGCAACAGG
rnacentral:rRNA from 1 species